CCCUUAGAUGUUCUGGGCCGCACGCGUGCUACACUGAGUGGAUCAGCGGGUCAGGUUGCGCGAAAGUGUUUCCUAAUCUUGAAAUCCGCUCGUGAUGGGGAUUGACGGUUGCAAUUUUCCGUCAUGAACGAGGAAUACCUUGUAAGCGCGGGUCAUCAUCCCGCGCUGAAUACGUCCCUGCCCUUUGUACACACCGCCCGUCGCUACUACCGAUUGGAUGGCUUAGUGAGACCCUCGGACCGAUAGGCUGUCGCCGCGGCAACGUGGCGACCGGCCCGUCGGGAAGAAGGUCAAACUUGACUGUCUAGAGGAAGUAAAAGUCGUAACA
rnacentral:rRNA from 1 species